rnacentral:rRNA from 1 species
GCGUAAGAGCUCGUAGGCGGCUUGUCACGUCGGGUGUGAAUAACGGGGCUUAACCCCGGGUCUGCAUUCGAUACGGGCUAGCUAGAGUGUGGUAGGGGAGAUCGGAAUUCCUGGUGUAGCGGUGAAAUGCGCAGAUAUCAGGAGGAACACCGGUGGCGAAGGCGGAUCUCUGGGCCAUUACUGACGCUGAGGAGCGAA